rnacentral:piRNA from 6 species
UGCUUCUGGGUCGGGGUUUCGUACGUAG